rnacentral:misc_RNA from 1 species
AAGUCGUAACAAGGUUUCCGUAGGUGAACCUGCGGAAGGAUCAUUAGUGAAUUCAAAUUUCUCCUCUCUCGGGGGGAGUGCAGUGCAGGAGCCCUCGUGCUCUUGUGCUGUGAAUACACAUCCAUAACACCUGUGAACUGUCUGUCAAGAUCAAGGCUUCGGCUUUGGACUUGUACACUUUACCAAACUAUACUAUGUAAAAAAUGUCAUAUUAUUAUAAACAAAUAAAACUUUUAACAACGGAUCUCUUGGCUCUC